CUCUCUUAGUUAAAUUAUAUAAAAAAAUUAAUGUUUUUCAUUGAUGUAUCAAUACCUUAAUUUAAAAAAAAAAUACCAUAUCACAUACUCGUACCAGUACCUGAUACUAGUACCGUACCUAUGCGUCAUAGAUCUUAUGCUCAUACAAUUUUCAUGCCACUGUAUUGAUGUUACCAUAUAUUUCCUCUGAUUAUGAUAUCAUUGUGCAAACAUAUCGGUCUAUGAACAGGAGUUUGAAGUAGAGGUUGUGUCGUUGGGUUGGGCUCUAUGCUCACUAAGUUUGAUUCUGAUUUGCAACGGAAGAUUAGGUGCACAUGCUUGAAGUGUGGUAAUGAGUAACGGUACCUGGUCGCAUGUGCAAGAGCGAAGUGAUUGUUAUAUUUUUUUUUUAGUUUUCCUACUUUUUGGUCGCAUGUGCAAAAGUGAAGUGGUAAUUAUAUUUUUUUACCUUUCUUACUUUCAUUUCUACGGGUCAAGUGGAAAUCAUAUUCUUUGGUUGCUCGUUGCUCAUUCAGGUUAGGACUAAAACUAAAACCUUUGGAUUCUCACUCAUUUUAAACAUGUUUUAUGUUUUGUGUCUACCUAAUCCAACAUGCCUUAAAUUAUUUAGUACUUGGGUUACACAUUAUAUUAAAGGUUUUGUCUAUGGGUUUGAAGUCGGACACAUAAGAUUUUGUCUCUGAGAGUUAAACUA